rnacentral:misc_RNA from 1 species
CAUCAGAACCAAACUCAAGAGCAUAACAUUUUGUUAUUUUAAUAGGCCAUCCACCUGCCAGGAAAAAAAGAAGCAUCAAAGAGGUCCAUAGAAUCUUCCUCAUAAAGUAAGAGAGUAAGAGACGACAAAAAAGAAACAUUGGCAUGCCCAGAAAACCAUAAACGCAAUCCAAAUGAGGCCACAAAUCAAGCGCACAACAGGAAAUAGCAAGAAAAGCCAGCUACAUAGAUCAUGAAAAUCAUAACUGUGGAUAGAAUUUGAAAGUUGCUAAGUGGGUUCUGUUUUAAUGUAUUUAAUAGAGAUAUCUAAUGUACAAAAUUUGUAUAGAACAUAGACUGGCCACAUUGAAUUGGAAAUUGUUGAGUUGGCAUUGGCAUUGGUAAGAAUGAGUUACUCUGAACUGAGUUAUUUUGAAAUUACAUAAGUACUCUUUUAGUAUAGAAAACAUAGAAACCACCCAAUAGUGAAUUUAUUGAGAUUUCAACACAAAUUAUAUGUAUUUUUUAACUAAAUAAAAAAAAUACACAAACCAGGACACAUUAACACAAAUCAAAUACAAAAAUAUUAAGAAAAGACAUAUAAUUAACAAUAUACAUUUUCUUUAAGAGAGUAAGAAAGGGGAUUCCAAAACUUGAGAGCAUAUACACCUGCCAUUAGGCUACCUUGCAGGUGCAGCACAAUUCAAAUUCACAUAUACAUAUAGUCAUAUAGAGAUUAAUUAGAUAUUUUGGUUUCAAAUAAAAAUACAUCAGCAAAUACAGUUUGCAAACUACCCAAAGCAUCACCUGAUGGAUUAAGACUUGAUAUUGUUAAGAAAGAUUUGUGUAGUACCAGGGUCUGCCAUGAUGAACUU